rnacentral:rRNA from 1 species
UACGUAGGUGGCAAGCGUUAUCCGGAAUUAUUGGGCGUAAAGCGCGCGCAGGUGGUUUCUUAAGUCUGAUGUGAAAGCCCACGGCUCAACCGUGGAGGGUCAUUGGAAACUGGGAGACUUGAGUGCAGAAGAGGAAAGUGGAAUUCCAUGUGUAGCGGUGAAAUGCGUAGAUAUCUGGAGGAACACCGGUGGCGAAGGCGGCUCUCUGGGACGGUACUGACGCUGAGACGCGAAAGCGUGGGGAGCGAACAGG